rnacentral:rRNA from 1 species
GACGAACGCUGGCGGCGUGCUUAACACAUGCAAGUCGAACGGAAAGGCCCUGCUUUUGUGGGGUGCUCGAGUGGCGAACGGGUGAGUAACACGUGAGUAACCUGCCCUUGACUUUGGGAUAACUUCAGGAAACUGGGGCUAAUACCGGAUAGGAGCUCCUGCUGCAUGGUGGGGGUUGGAAAGUUUCGGCGGUUGGGGAUGGACUCGCGGGUUAUCAGCUUGUUGGUGGGGUAGUGGCUUACCAAGGCUUUGACGGGUAGCCGGCCUGGGAGGGGGGCCGGGGACAUGGCGACUGAGAGAGGGAGCAGUCGGGAAUGUGGGACAGUGGGGGGAAAUCUGGUCCAGUGGGCGCAAGUGUGAGACGACGGCCUCGGGUGUGGAAAGACGGCUUGGGGGUAAUAAACCGCUGCGGCCUGAGACGAAGUGGAAGUGACGGUAACGGGAAAAGAAGCACCGGCUAACUACGUG